rnacentral:rRNA from 1 species
GACGAACGCUGGCGGCGUGCUUAACACAUGCAAGUCGAGCGGUAAGGCCCUUUCGGGGGUACACGAGCGGCGAACGGGUGAGUAACACGUGGGUGACCUGCCCUCAGCUCUGGGAUAAGCCUGGGAAACCGGGUCUAAUACCGGAUAUGACCCCAUGACGCAUGUUGUGGGGUGGAAAGCCUUGUGCGGCUGAGGAUGGGCCCGCGGCCUAUCAGCUUGUUGGUGGGGUGAUGGCCACCAAGGCGACGACGGGUAGCCGGCCUGAGAGGGCGACCGGCCACACUGGGACUGAGACACGGCCCAGACUCCUACGGGAGGCAGCAGUGGGGAAUCUUGCGCAAUGGGCGAAAGCCUGACGCAGCGACGCCGCGUGGGGAAGAAGGCC